AUCUGCGUUGUCACUGUGGACCUGUCUGCAAUCACUGGGCUGUGUCUGACCCUGUUUGCUAUCACUGAACCUAAUCCUGACUUGCUGACUUGUACUUGGCUCCUGGCUUGGCCUUGAACCUGAUUCAUCCUAUGAAUUUGUCUGGUGAUUGGGACUCUUGGUUGAACCUGGCCACCACCCGCCGGCCUAUCGUGCUCGCCUUGCUCAGGGGCUGGUGAGGCUCCUGCUCUGCUGGUCCCAGGAUCACUCCUGGCUCCCUGUCCCUUUGGAAGCAGCUGACACUACUGUGCCCUGACAGAGGGGACUAUGAAAGCGUUUGGAUAUCUAUGCAAUCAUGCCCAUGAGCUUGUUGGACAUGAACUUAUGAAAGAGUCUCCGUUAUGAGUUUGCUUGCAGUAGCAGGGAACCAGCCUUGAUGACCCAGGUGAUUCCUCCCAGUUGCAUGCUGCUAAAAUGCAUGUGAACAGGACGCAGAUGUAUUGAAGGUCUUUAGAGAAAACACAGAGUACUUCCAAUGGAAAGUACCAAUCUAGGAAUCAUUCCCUGGACUCCACUUAAGAAGACUUGCUUGCACUGACAUCAUGGAAGUUGUCUGGGGAUGCAGUGAUCGGAGGUCGGAGGGGCUGAUUUUGAUCACAAUGUGUAGUCCUCCUGCCCAGUGUUGAAGGAUUUCUAAUGGAUACUUUUUAUGGCUGUUGUCUCCCAAUCCAGGGGAUGUCCUUGGCUCUUCCUAGAACAGAGCUCUCAUUUUUUAAACGACAAAAGGAAAAUGCUACAGGGCAGGAGACCCUGUCUGUGUCCUGCUGCUAAAGA